rnacentral:rRNA from 1 species
GACGAACGCUGGCGGCGUGCUUAACACAUGCAAGUCGAACGGAAAGGCCCUGCUUGCAGGGUACUCGAGUGGCGAACGGGUGAGUAACACGUGGGUGAUCUGCCCUGCACUUCGGGAUAAGCCUGGGAAACUGGGUCUAAUACCGGAUAGGAGCCAUUUUUAGUGUGAUGGUUGGAAAGUUUUUUCGGUGUAGGAUGAGCUCGCGGCCUAUCAGCUUGUUGGUGGGGUAAUGGCCUACCAAGGCGGCGACGGGUAGCCGGCCUGAGAGGGUGGACGGCCACAUUGGGACUGAGAUACGGUCCAGACUCCUACGGGAGGCAGCAGUGGGGAAUAUUGCACAAUGGGCGCAAGCCUGAUGCAGCGACGCCGCGUGGGGGAUGACGGCCUUCGGGUUGUAAACCCCUUUCGCUAGGGACGAAGCUUUUUGUGACGGUACCUAGAUAAGAAGCACCGGCUAACUACG